rfam:Schistosoma mansoni strain Puerto Rico chromosome W, complete genome
GCACUGCUGAAGAGUCCCAGACUAGGAAGAAACGGCCGUCCGGUGU